rnacentral:rRNA from 1 species
UACGAAGGGGGCUAGCGUUGCUCGGAAUCACUGGGCGUAAAGGGCGCGUAGGCGGGCUCUUAAGUCAGAGGUGAAAGCCCAAGGCUCAACCUUGGAAUUGCCUUUGAUACUGAGGGCCUUGAGACCGGAAGAGGUCGGCGGAACUGCGAGUGUAGAGGUGAAAUUCGUAGAUAUUCGCAAGAACACCAGUGGCGAAGGCGGCCGACUGGUCCGGUUCUGACGCUGAGGCGCGAAAGCGUGGGGAGCAAACAGG